rnacentral:rRNA from 1 species
GUUUACAGCCAUGCUACCCUGAACAAGCCCAACCCUGUCUGAUCUCGGAAGCUAAGCAGGGUUUGGCCUGGUUAGUACUUGGAUGGGAGACCACCUAGGAAGACCAGGUGCUGUAGGUG